rnacentral:rRNA from 1 species
CAGCCGCCGCGGUAAUACGGAGGGGGCUAGCGUUGUUCGGAAUUACUGGGCGUAAAGCGCACGUAGGCGGCUUGGUAAGUUAGAGGUGAAAGCCCGGAGCUCAACUCCAGAACUGCCUUUGAUACUGGGUAUCUAGAGUCCGGAAGAGGUGAGUGGAACUCCUAGUGUAGAGGUGGAAUUCGUAGAUAUUAGGAAGAACACCAGUGGCGAAGGCGGCUCACUGGUCCGGUACUGACGCUGAGGUGCGAAAGCGUGGGGAGCAAACAGGAUUAGAUACCCCUGUAGUCCCUGUCUCUUAUAA